CCAGACUCCUACGGGAGGCAGCAGUGAGGAAUAUUGGUCAAUGGGCUUACGCCUGAACCAGCCAAGUCGCGUGAGGGAAGACUGCCCUAUGGGUUGUAAGCCUCUUUUGUCAGGGAGCAACGCCGGCUACGUGUAGCCGGACUGAGAGUACCUGAAGAAAAAGCAUCGGCUAACUCCGUGCCAGCAGCCGCGGUAAUACGGAGGAUGCGAGCGUUAUCCGGAUUUAUCGGGUUUAAAGGGUGCGUAGGCGGAAUGCCAAGUCAGCGGUAAAAUCGCGGGGCUCAACCCCGGCCUGCCGUCGGAACUGGGUGCCUUGAGUGGGCGAGAAGUAUGCGGAAUGCGUGGUGUAGCGGUGAAAUGCAUAGAUAUCGCGCAGAACUCCGAUUGCGAAGGCAGCGUACCGGCGCCGGACUGACGCUGAGGCACGAAAGCGUGGGUAUCGAACAGGAUUAGAUACCCUAGUAAAG
rnacentral:rRNA from 1 species